GAAAUGCGAUAAGUAAUGUGAAUUGCAGAAUUCAGUGAAUCAUCGAAUCUUUGAACGCACCUUGCGCUCCUUGGUAUUCCUUGGAGCAUGCCUGUUUGAGUAUCAUGAAAUCUUCAAAGUAAAUCUUUUGUUAACUCAAUUGGUUUCUACUUUGGUAUUGGAGGUCUUUGCAGCUUCACACCUGCUCCUCUUUGUUCAUUAGCUGGAUCUCAGUGUUAUGCUUGGUUCCACUCGGCGUGAUAAGUUAUCUAUCGCUGAGGACACUGUAAAAGGUGGCCAAGGUAAAUGCAGAUGAACCGCUUCUAAUAAUCCAUUGACUUGGACAAUACUUUUAUGAUCUGAUCUCGAAUCAGGUAGGACUACCCGCUGAACUUAAGC
rnacentral:misc_RNA from 1 species